UGUGUGUGUGUGUGUGUGUGUGUGUGUGUGUGUGUGUAUACCUGAGGGGGACAGAAGAUGGAGUCAGAUCCCCCGGAGCUGUAGUUACAAAUGCUUGUGAACCGCCCACUUGGGUAUUGGGAAUAGAACCCAGGUAUCUUAUGAGAACUGUAUGUAUCCCCAACCACUGAGCAUCUCUCCGUCCCAAGCAUUGAUGUUGCCUGAGUUGGGUUUUCAGGGCAGGGGCAGUGGUUAAAUGGAGGUUGGGAGGGAUCAUUGCUAGGUGUUGCUGUAGUCCUAGCACUUCCCUGUAUCCGAGUCUACGGAGUAAUUAUUGUCAUGCUCCUGGCCUGGGGCACUGAGUCAUCAGCCUCUAGGGGAGGCCAUAAGAUCCUGAAGCAGGAUUUCUGGUAGGAGUGGAGGAGCGGUGUGUCCUUUUUUGUCUUUGACAUCUAUAAGCAUGUGACCCAGUAAGGAUAGCUUAGGAGCUUAUGAAUAAUUUCUUUUAAAACCAGCCUAAAAAUGUAAACUGUCUUAAUCCUGAUGAGCUGAUUGCUCCAGUCCUAGAGACUUAGUAAGUUCUAUGAGGCAUGGAAUUGCAAAGUUCCCUUUCUCCCGCACGCACGGCUGGCUCAGCCAUUAGGGAGGAGGGCGCAGAGACUUGUGGCCAACUUGCAUGCUUGCUGAAGAGAAACUCACCUCUAGUGAGGAGUAAGCUCAUCUCUAACCAGCAGCGGCACCUCCAAGUUAGGAUCUAGACGUAGAAAUUGGACAUGUUCUCCUUAGCGGAAGCUGUCAGCUUGACACAGUCUAGAGUCGUGAGUGAAAGGCAGCUCAGUUGAGGGCCUUGUGAACACGAGGGACUGUCUUGAUUGGUAAGGGAUAGAAGAGGCCCCGCCCACUGUGGGCAGCACCAUUCCAUGAACCCUUUAACAUGUGCCUCCCCUCCGCACCCUGCACCCUGCACCCCGCCAGACCCCGCACCUCGUACUCCAUACUCCCCACCUACAGCUAAGCAUGACCCUUGAGCCAGCAGACAACACUGCUCUGUGGCUCUGCCCUGUGUUCCCUCAGUGAUGGAGUGUAACCUAGAAGUUUAAGCUGAAAUAAACCCUUUCUUCUCUAAGUUGAUAUUUGUCAGAGGAGUGGGCGUUUUUAUUUUUGUUUUCAAAGCAUAGCAACAAUUGGAAAUUAGAAUGGGGUGGGGGCACGAACAUAUUGAUCAGAGAGUGUGCAAGCAUGUGUGUGCGUGCAAGUUGUGUGUGUGUGUGUGUGUGUGUGUAUUCAUCGGAUGGUGUGAGUCCCUUCCCCCUUUCCCCUCUUUUUUCUAAGUUAACUCAUCUUUUCAUGACUGUUGGUUCUUUGGUUCAUAAAAAGCAGCUCACUGAAUUAUUU
rnacentral:lncRNA from 1 species